UGCCACAUGUAAAGAAGCAAACAUCCGGAGCGGCUUCCUGCAAGCCUUGCUUCCCUCAACACUAGAGAUUUACUGGGGUGGGGGUGGGUGUCUGGAGUAGAAGCCUGGUUCUCAAGUCUGCUGUAGCCCGCAGCGGUGUCACACUCAAACAGUGCAGGAUUUCUAGGUGGCAACUGACUAUGCCACAUGCCCAAGGAAUACCAAAGGCUGGGGCAAGGAAUCGACAAGAAGUUGUGCCCGCUACCACUUGGGGCCUGUAGCAAGCGGGUUGGUGAUCAACUGUGACUCCGAAAUGGGAGAGUCAAAGCCGCUCUCUACAGCGAGCCUCUGAGUGAGCGGUUGAUUUCUCGAAGGUUUUGUGGUUUUGGUAUUCUGAUGGCCAGAGCCUGUUAAAGGACACUCAAGUCCAAUUGCGCAGGAUCCGUGGGCACUCAGGCAGAUCCGUGGUCUGUGGAGAGUAAAUUCAUGAGGGCGGAAAGGGGAGCGCAGGCAGCCCCGGCGGACUCUAAGAUAAAACAGACAAUAGUACCACUGGACAAUCUAAACUACGUGCCUCAGAGUCUGCCUCUGGGAACCACGAGGGAAGUGACACGGCGCGGAGCGUCGUGCCCCGGGCUCCGCACCUCCCAGAACUCAACUUGAGGGAUCAUGGACCUACCAGAGGAUUCAUUCAGUCCACGUGGUCCUCACCUCUGAAGUAGACUGUAAUAUGAAUGCUCUGUGGAGUGUAGAGAGGAAGGCUUUUCAUAGCAGGUUGGAAUAGAAGGAAUGUUGCUACCUAGUAAGAUCCUGACAAGACGACAAGGAGCCAGAAGCCAUGCAGAGCAGAGAA